UGCUAAGAAAUCCACAUGGCUGAUGUGCUCAAGUGCCCGUGUCAUGACUUCAGGGGAAAAACAAACAAAUAAAACAAACAACAACAAGAAGAAAGCUAAAUCUACCUAAGCUGAAGUGGCAGUAGAAAAGAUCUUGCCUGUGGAAGGAAAGGAAGCAGUGCUGUCUUCCAGUUAAUAACCACACUUGUGUUUACAAGACAACUGCUUUUACAAAACUGAAGAUCAUCAGAUGGGAACACUAACAACUUCAAUUUUAAAGUCCACUUCUGACCUAACAAGAAGCGUGGGAUACUUCAUUACAGAGGAUAUUCUACUGAAAUAUGAAACACACAUGAAAUCAUGAGCACUUAAGGAAAGAGCUUUUGUGGCCACAGCUAUCAUAUGAUAUUAAAACUGCAGCAUGACAGUAGUUGUUGUAAAUAAAUACAUAUUACAACAAGUAAAAAAAAGUGCAAUUACAAUUUCACAAUAUUUAUUUCUGCGAUCAAAUUUACAUACGAACUGCAAAGUAUGAGAAAUAUGAACCUUUGCAUAUACUCCCACAGACUGUGCAGAUAUAUCCACACAUUUAUGUGUACAGUUAUUAUAUUAAAAGACUGUUACACUUAUAAAAUAUUUUAGAGAAUAAUUUAUGUGGACAGGUUUAGAUAUUCAUUCUUACUCAGAAUGAUAAGCAAGCAGGCUGAAUAUAUUUGAAAAUGUAGUAAAUCAAGUUUUGGUCUUGCUAACACUAAUACACAUUCAUUUAGAUAAAUCUGAUGAGAAUUUUACCCAACCAAUAUAUCUUUAAAAGCUAAUCAAGUGAAUCUCUUUAAUAGCAUCAAGCCUCAUUUGGAAAGUUCACAAUCCAUAAUUAUCUGCUUCUUUGAAAAUGUUUGCUAAAAUUGUAGUUUUGGAACAGAUUAAAGUUCAAAUCUUACAUGUACAUGAAAUAAUUCAUUUGCCCAAACACCCCAAUUUUAGACAUUACUUGCAAAUGAAAAUUACAUCCCACAUGAUUUUAGUAUUAGCUUUUAUAUGAGCACUAAAUAUAAAAUGGUAGUCUGACCUUUAAGAAAAACUGUAUCUAAUAACAAAAUUAAAGAACAGGUUUAAAGAUUUGGUCACUAGUCUUUAUAAAAGGGAAAAAAGAAAACAAAAUCCCUUGCAGUCACAUUCUAUCAUUCUCUUUCAACUAUUCUUUUAGGUUUCUUUCCACUAUAUUUAAUUUUAUUUCAUUAUAUGCAGGAAGGCUAAUAACCAACCAUUUUGAUUCUGUUCAUUUUCCCCCAUUUAGACCAUUUUUCUUACCCUGAUUCAUUUUGUAACCAAAUUAAUUUUAAUUUAAUUUGUUUCAUUAAAGCUAAGGUUUUCCAAUUUUUGAAAUGUAAGAGAGACUAAACAGAGUUACUUUAUCUUGCUAGGUCCAAAGGUCUUGCAUAAUACUCAGAUUUCAAUAGUAGUAUGUAAAUAGCAUGUAUUUUUUUCUCUUGUGGAAAAAGGUGAAUUGGAUUAUUCCAUCAAAUUUUACAUUUUCUAACAAUACUGAUCUUUUCAAAAUCCUGUUUCCGUAAGUGUCAUUUUCCCCUAUGCUCCAGAGAACAACUGUCAAAAAAUUAUGGGAAACAAAACCAAAACACUUCUUUCACCAGAAAAUUUUCAUAAAGAAAAUAUCAGAAUGAGAUUGAAGUUCUGAAUCAACAUAUUUCAGGGUUUUACUUAUUUUCUUCUUAUUUGGAUGUGAGUAAUGACGUAGAGAUAGAGAAUUUAUUAUUCUUAGACUCCUGUCUUACUUGGACAAGUUGUUCCUUGAGUAUUUUUUUAUGUUAUAUGACACAUUAGUAUUUCACUACAUUGCCAUCUUCAUUCUUCUCAGAAGCUCAGAGGAAGAGAAAAGAAGCACUCUCAUUUCUCUUCUCCUUUUCUGCAGAUAUUUCUGCAGAUAUAGGCUUGAUAUUUUAGCAACGAGGACCUUAACUUUGCUUCUGAUGACUGCUGGCAAAAGACCCUAGAUAAACAUGCAUAAUAGUCAGCCAGACAGAAAAAUAACCAUUGUGGGCAACAAAAUAAUAGGUGGAACAAAAAAAGGAUUGGGGUUAGCCAUAGCUCUGGUCAUCUGCCUGCUACAUGCAUUGGUUUCUUAAAUGCCCAAAAAAGGUGGUGUCAAAAUUUUAAUUUAGAUUAAGAACAUGACUUAGUAAGUGUAACAGAUUUAGAGAAAUGAUUCACAUGAAAAGGAUGUAACAUCAAAUGCUGCAAACUAUUGGGGAAGGAUAGUGUUAAAAGAGAGAAGCUAUUCCCCACUGUAUCAAGGAUGUGAUUUCAUUCUGAAGUCCAAUAUGCAGAGGAAUUUAGAAGUGAAGAAAGCCUGAGUAAUAACAAAAAGAAGGCACUAAUGCAGCUGGCAAUGUGCUGGGGAUCUACUAUAAACCUUGGAACAGGAAUUAGCUGAACAAGGCUUACUGGUUCUUUCCAACACAGCAUAGUAAUGUUAAUUAAGAAACUGCAUCUUUGGGUUGUGUAACUACAGAACCAGUCUCAAGAUAAAUAGAUACCUUAUUUAUUUAGCUCUCUAUGUUGUUAAAUUAUUUAAUGAACCUUAUUAUUGGUGUUAGAUGAAUAUGAAUUAAUAUACAUUGUAUUCUUGUGACUUUAUAAAUGUGGCAUAUGUUCAAAGCAUGUUCAAUCUAAAGCAUUGCUUCUUUUAGGGCAGCAGACCCCAGUAUGUGGAUGACUGACUUACAUUUAUUUACUAAAUCUACUAGAUAGGGAUUUUUCUUGCCUUAAUACUGAAGUACACAACUCCCAUUUCCCUGACAAACAGUCUCUGAUACUUCAAAAACCUUAGGACUGCCUGACUCAUUCUCUUCUUGUUAAAAGAGACUUAACUACAGGGGCAUCUGCCAGAAGACAAAAUAAGGAAUAGAAUCUAUCUAGCAAGUUCUUGUUACUCAUCAGUGGCAACUUGAUAUUAAAAAACAAACAAACAAAAACAAAAGAAAAAACAGAGAAAAACAAUCUAGUUGAAAAGAGCUGGUUUAGGACAUGAAGGUGAGGGCAAGACAGAGGUGAGACCCUUGGAUAGGAGAUAAAAAAAUAACAAAACAGCAGAUAUCAUCAAGGAACAUCCAGAGAAUGCAAAUGAAAAUAAUCUCCUUCAAAGAUAAAAGAUAUGGAACAAGUGGUCAUACUGUUGAAUAGAUUACAAAACUGAACAAGCAUCAAGAAGGUGAUGCUAUAAUAAACAAACAAAUAAAUAAGGAGUACUGUCUGUGGAAAACAUAAAAUAAUGCGUAGGGUUUACUACAGAAGAUUCUAAGACAUUGGUCAGUCAUAUAUAAGAAUACUGUGUUCAGCCUGGGGAAUCCCAGUUUGGGAGAGGCAUAGAUUGAAGAGAAAAAUAAGAGGAGGAAUAGAGGAAUAAGAAUGAAGACAUGCAGAAAAAGUGUAAUCUCAGAUGAGAGACCAAAAAAACCAAUAAAAAUAAACUUGAUCUAACUUGAUCUACGUAGGAAUAGACUGAAGGGAAUCAGGAAAAGCCAUCAUAACAGCUUUCAUCAUAAAAGCUCCUCCAAAGAAAAAGUGUUACCUGUGGCCUUCCUGAAUGGUCCUUUAGAGAUAUGAGGUUUUCCAUGUCUAUGACAGAUAGAACAGGAUUAAACUAUAGCAAAGGUAAUUCAGAUUACAUAAAUAAAAAGUCAUCAUAGCAGUAAAACCCUUGCAUUCAUUUCUUGGAAAUAUCAUAACAAUGCUAGAGGAAUA
ensembl:lncRNA